UCCCUGGCAGUCUAGUGGUUAGGACUCUGCACUUCCACUGCAGGGGCAUGGGUUCAAUCCUUGGUCAGGGAA
rnacentral:tRNA from 1 species